rnacentral:rRNA from 1 species
UGGCGAGUGGCGGACGGGUGAGGAAUACAUCGGAAUCUACUCUGUCGUGGGGGAUAACGUAGGGAAACUUACGCUAAUACCGCAUACGACCUACGGGUGAAAGCAGGGGAUCUUCGGGCCUUGCGCGAUUGAAUGAGCCGAUGUCGGAUUAGCUAGUUGGCGGGGUAAAGGCCCACCAAGGCGACGAUCCGUAGCUGGUCUGAGAGGAUGAUCAGCCACACUGGAACUGAGACACGGUCCAGACUCCUACGGGAGGCAGCAGUGGGGAAUAUUGGACAAUGGGCGCAAGCCUGAUCCAGCCAUACCGCGUGGGUGAAGAAGGCCUUCGGGUUGUAAAGCCCUUUUGUUGGGAAAGAAAUCCAGCUGGCUAAUACCCGGUUGGGAUGACGGUACCCAAAGAAUAAGCACCGGCUAACUUCGUGCCAGCAGCCGCGGUAAUACGAAGGGUGCAAGCGUUACUCGGAAUUACUGGGCGUAAAGCGUGCGUAGGUGGUCGUUUAAGUCCGUUGUGAAAGCCCUGGGCUCAACCUGGGAACUGCAG